rnacentral:rRNA from 1 species
UACAGAGGGUGCAAGCGUUGUUCGGAAUUAUUGGGCGUAAAGGGCGUGUAGGCGGCAUGCAUAGUCUUCUGUGAAAUCUACGGGCUUACCCCGUAACGUGCAGAGGAUACUGGCAAGCUAGAGUGUCGGAGAGGAUAGUGGAAUUCCAGGUGUAGAGGUGAAAUUCGUAGAGAUCUGGAGGAACACCAGUGGCGAAGGCGACCAUCUGGCUGACAACUGACGCUGAGACUCGAAAGCAUGGGGAGCAAACAGG